GUUCAUCAAGGGGCUAACCCCUGGGUUACAUUAGGAAAGGUCACUGAGAAGUCCUGCUGUGCCAGGCAGUUUUUUCAGUCAUUGCAUCCUUGGCAUUGUGUCAGCCAUCAAGAGCUACAGCAAUGAUACACAGCAGCAUUCAUGCACUGAGAGAUGAGCCCUGCUACCAGCCUCACCUCCCAGCUCUGAUGGCAGCUGUUGACUCCUGCAGCCCAAGCAGCAGAAGGAAAUACACACAUAAUUCAUCUGCAUCAGAAAACAGAUUAGCUGUUGCCAUGAGCACAGCAGUGUAUGGGCAGCCAGAAGAGGAAUGGGGACUUCAGAAGAGCCCUUUUGGAAGAAAGAGCAGACCCAACUGGCACAUGCUGUAG
rnacentral:lncRNA from 14 species